GGAAUUGUUCGCAAUGGGCGCAAGCCUGACGACGCAACGCCGCGUGGAGGAUGAAGAUCUUCGGGUCGUAAACUCCUGUCGAGCGGGACGAAUGCCUUGCCGGUGAAUAUCCGGCGAGGGUGACGGUACCGCUAACGGAAGCCCCGGCUAACUCCGUGCCAGCAGCCGCGGUAAUACGGGGGGGGCAAGCGUUGUUCGGAAUUACUGGGCGUAAAGGGCUCGUAGGCGGCCAACUAAGUCGGAUGUGAAAUCCCCAGGCUCAACCUGGGAACUGCAUCCGAUACUGGAUGGCUUGAAUUCGGGAGAGGGAUGCAGAAUUCCAGGUGUAGCGGUGAAAUGCGUAGAUAUCUGGAGGAAUACCGGUGGCGAAGGCGGCAUCCUGGACCAUUACUGACGCUGAGGCGCGAAAGCUAGGGGAGCAAAC
rnacentral:rRNA from 1 species